rnacentral:rRNA from 1 species
UACGUAGGGCGCAAGCGUUGUCCGGAAUUAUUGGGCGUAAAGAGCUCGUAGGUGGCGUGUCGCGUCUGCCGUGAAAGCCCAUGGCUUAACUGUGGGUCUGCGGUGGAUACGGGCAGGCCGGAGGCUGGUAGGGGCAAGCGGAAUUCCUGGUGUAGCGGUGAAAUGCGCAGAUAUCAGGAGGAACACCGGUGGCGAAGGCGGCUUGCUGGGCCAGUUCUGACGCUGAGGAGCGAAAGCGUGGGGAGCGAACAGG